rnacentral:rRNA from 1 species
GACGAACGCUGGCGGCGUGCCUAAUACAUGCAAGUUGAGCGAUGAAGAUUGGUGCUUGCACCAAUUUGAAGAGCAGCGAACGGGUGAGUAACGCGUGGGGAAUCUGCCUUUGAGCGGGGGACAACAUUUGGAAACGAAUGCUAAUACCGCAUAAUAACUUUAAACAUAAGUUUUAAGUUUGAAAGAUGCAAUUGCAUCACUCAAAGAUGAUCCCGCGUUGUAUUAGCUAGUUGGUGAGGUAAAGGCUCACCAAGGCGAUGAUACAUAGCCGACCUGAGAGGGUGAUCGGCAACAUUGGGACUGAGACACGGCCCAAACUCCUACGGGAGGCAGCAGUAGGGAAUCAUCGGCAAUGGAAGAAAGUCUGACCGAGCAACGCCGAGUGAGUGAAGAAGGUUUUCGGAUCGUAAAACUCUGUUGGUAGAGAAGAACGUUGGUGAGAGUGGAAAGCUCAUCAAGUGACGGUAACUACCCAGAAAGGGACGGCUAACUACGUG